rnacentral:rRNA from 1 species
UACGUAGGGUGCGAGCGUUAAUCGGAAUUACUGGGCGUAAAGCGUGCGCAGGCGGUUCGUUAAGUUCGAUGUGAAAGCCCCGGGCUCAACCUGGGAACUGCAUUGGAAACUGGCGAGCUUGAGUAUGGCAGAGGGGGGUGGAAUUCCGCGUGUAGCAGUGAAAUGCGUAGAGAUGCGGAGGAACACCGAUGGCGAAGGCAGCCCCCUGGGCCAAUACUGACGCUCAUGCACGAAAGCGUGGGGAGCAAACAGG